rnacentral:rRNA from 1 species
UGGGGAAUUUUGUGCAAUGGGGGAAACCCUGACACAGCGACACCGCGUGAGCGAAGAAGCCCUUUGGGGUGUAAAGCUCUGUCAACGGGAACGAAAAAAAUGACGGUACCCGUGGAGGAAGCAUCGGCUAACUACGUGCCAGCAGCCGCGGUAAGACGUAGGAUGCAAGCGUUGUCCGGAUUUAUUGGGCGUAAAGAGUUCGUAGGCUGUUUGUUAAGUCUGAUGUUAAAGACUGGGGCUCAACCUCGGAAAUGCAUUGGAUACUGGCAGACUGGAGUGCAGUAGAGGCUAGUGGAAUUCCCAGUGUAGCGGUGAAAUGCGUAGAUAUUGGGAAGAACACCGGUGGCGUAGGCGACUAGCUGGGCUGUAACUGACGCUGAGGAACGAAAGCCAGGGGAGCGAAUGG